AAGCAAUCUAUACCGUGAACUGCGAAUGGCUCAUUAAAUCAGUUAUCGUUUAUUUGAUAGUACCUACUUACUUGGAUAACCGUGGUAAUUCUAGAGCUAAUACAUGCUAAAAACCUCGACUUCGGAAGGGGUGUAUUUAUUAGAUAAAAAACCAAUGCCCUCCGGGGCUCCCUGGUGAUUCAUAAUAACUAAACGAAUCGCAUGGCCUUGCGCCGGCGAUGGUUCAUUCAAAUUUCUGCCCUAUCAACUUUCGAUGGUAGGAUAGUGGCCUACCAUGGUGGCAACGGGUAACGGGGAAUUAGGGUUCUAUUCCGGAGAGGGAGCCUGAGAAACGGCUACCACAUCCAAGGAAGGCAGCAGGCGCGCAAAUUACCCAAUCCCGACACGGGGAGGUAGUGACAAUAAAUACUGAUGUGGAGCUCUUUAGGGUUUCACAAUUGGAAUGAGAAAAAUCUAAACCACUUAAACGAGGAACAAUUGGAGGGCAAGUCUGGUGCCAGCAGCCGCGGUAAUUCCAGCUCCAAUAGCGUAUAUUAAAGUUGUUGCAGUUAAAAAGCUCGUAGUUGAACCUUGGGCCUGGCCGGCCGGUCCGCCUCACCGCGUGCACUGGUUCGGCCGGGCCUUUCCUCCUGGGGAACCGCAUGCCCUUCACUGGGUGUGCCGGGGAAUCAGGACUUUUACUUUGAAAAAAUUAGAGUGUUCAAAGCAGGCAUUUGCUCGAAUACAUUAGCAUGGGAAUAAUAGAAUAGGACGANGUGGGUUCUAUUUUGUUUGGUUUCUAGGACCGCCGUAAUGAUA
rnacentral:rRNA from 1 species